UAAGACAGAGGGUGCAAACGUUGUUCGGAAUUACUGGGCGUAAAGCGCGUGUAGGCUGCUCGGAAAGUCGGAUGUGAAAGCCCUGGGCUCAACCUAGGAAGUGCAUUCGAAACUUCCGAGCUGGAGUGCUGGAGAGGAAGGCGGAAUUCUCGGUGUAGAGGUGAAAUUCGUAGAUAUCGAGAGGAACACCGGUGGCGAAGGCGGCCUUCUGGACAGCCACUGACGCUGAGACGCGAAAGCGUGGGGAGCAAACAGG
rnacentral:rRNA from 1 species